ensembl:snoRNA SNORD34 Small nucleolar RNA SNORD34
UGGCGUCAGUGAUGUUCUGCAAUUACCUACAUUGUUUGAUCCCUGUGAAAAGAGCACCUGCUGAGACGCCU